GACGAACGCUGGCGGCGUGCCUAAUACAUGCAAGUAGAACGCUGAAGAGAGGAGCUUGCUCUUCUUGGAAGAGUUGCGAACGGGUGAGUAACGCGUAGGUAACCUGCCUUGUAGCGGGGGAUAACUAUUGGAAACGAUAGCUAAUACCGCAUAACAAUGGGUGACCCAUGUCAUUCAUUUGAAAGGGGCAACUGCUCCACUACAAGAUGGACCUGCGUUGUAUUAGCUAGUAGGUGAGGUAACGGCUCACCUAGGCGACGAUACAUAGCCGACCUGAGAGGGUGAUCGGCCACACUGGGACUGAGACACGGCCCAGACUCCUACGGGAGGCAGCAGUAGGGAAUCUUCGGCAAUGGGGGCAACCCUGACCGAGCAACGUCGCGUGAGUGAAGAAGGUUUUCGGAUCGUAAAGCUCUGUUGUAAGUCAAGAACGAGUGUGAGAGUGGAAAGUUCACACUGUGACGGUAACUUACCAGAAAGGGACGGCUAACUACGUGCCGGCAGCCGCGGUAAUACGUAGGUCCCGAGCGUUAUCCGGAUUUAUUGGGCGUAAAGCGAGCGCAGGCGGUUAGAUAAGUCUGAAGUUAAAGGCUGUGGCUUAACCAUAGUACGCUUUGGAAACUGUUUAACUUGAGUGCAGAAGGGGAGAGUGGAAUUCCAUGUGUAGCGGUGAAAUGCGUAGAUAUAUGGAGGAACACCGGUGGCGAAAGCGGCUCUCUGGUCUGUAACUGACGCUGAGGCUCGAAAGCGUGGGGAGCAAACAGG
rnacentral:rRNA from 1 species